AUGCUUGAGCUGACGAGCGCCGACCGCACGGGGCUCAUCUCCGAGGUGUUCGACGUGCUAGACGACAUGAGCUGCAGUGUCGUCGAUGCCAGGGCGUGGUCCGCAUCGUGGCCGCCUCGCCUGCCUCGUCUACCUGCGGGACGAGGAUGUUGCCGCAGCCGUUGUGGAGCACAUCGAGGCCCGCCUCGCCUCCCUCCUCCGCGGAGACUCGGAAGCCAGCAGCGGCGCCGUGGCUGCCGUCCCCGCCGGCUCCAUCCCGCACGCCAACCGGCGCCUCCACCAUCUCAUGUAUGCCAGCGGCGACCAGGAGCACGCGUUCCCAACUCCCACGGUGCGUGCUCAUGGAUCUCGAGCCCGACACCAUGGGCUCCGUGCACAAGGGGCCCUACGGCCAGAUCUUCCGCCCCGACAACUUUGUCUUCGGCCAGUCCGGCGCCGGCAACAACUAGGCCAAGGGCCACUACACCAAGGGCGGGGAGCUCAUCGACUCCGUCCUCGACGUCGUCCGCGAGGAGGCCGAGAAUUGCGCUGCCUCCAAGGCUUCCAGGUGUGCCACUCCCUCGGCGGGGGCACCGGUUCCAAGAUCAGGGAGUAGUACCCGGGCCAGAUGAUGCUCACCUUCUCCGUGUUCCCAUCUCCAAAGGUCUCUGA
rnacentral:rRNA from 1 species